AUUGAACGCUGGCGGCAGGCCUAACACAUGCAAGUCGAGCGGGUGAAGGGAGCUUGCUCCUGGAUUCAGCGGCGGACGGGUGAGUCAUGCCUAGGAAUCUGCCUGGUCGCGGGGGAUAACGUCCGGAAACGGGCGCUACUACCGCAUACGUCCUGAGGGAGCAAGUGGGUGGGCCUCGGACCUCUCGCUAUCAGAUGAGCCUAGGGCGGAUUAGCUAGUUGGUGGGGUAAAGGCCUACCAAGGCGACGAUCCGUAACUGGUCUGAAGGGAUGAGCCGGCACACUGUAACUGAGACACGGUCCAGACUCCGACAGGAGGCAGCAGUGGGGACUAUUGGACGAUGGGCGAAAGCCUGAUCCAGCCAUGCCGGGUGUGUGAAGAAGGUCUUCGGAUUGUAAAGCACUUUAAGUUGGGAGGAAGGGCAGUACGUUAAUACCUGGCGAUUUUGACGGUACCAAAAGAAUAAGCACCGGCUAACUUCGUG
rnacentral:rRNA from 1 species